UACAGAGGUCCCAAGCGUUGUUCGGAUUCACUGGGCGUAAAGGGUGCGUAGGUGGUGGGGUAAGUCGGAUGUGAAAUCUCCGAGCUCAACUCGGAAAUGGCAUUGGAAACUACCCUGCUAGAGGGUCGGAGGGGGGACUGGAAUACUUGGUGUAGCAGUGAAAUGCGUAGAUAUCAAGUGGAACACCAGUGGCGAAGGCGAGUCCCUGGACGACUCCUGACACUGAGGCACGAAAGCGUGGGUAGCGAACGGG
rnacentral:rRNA from 1 species